UUUCCCUGAAUUCCCCACCCAAGCGUAGGGAAGCGUGUAACCUACCUUCGACGGAAACGUGAAAUAGUGGAAACCGCACACCGCGCGGCAGAAUUCGUCCAUCGUAACAUCUUCCGCCGUUAAAACAAGGUAGAUUCCUUUCCGGUGAUCGACCGGGAACGGUUUAGAUCUCACCGCCGUUGCUAUUACGUCCUGGAUUGAAAGUCGCGUGAGGCGCUUUCCGUUGGAAUAGCGUAGGUCGGAAUAUUCUCCGGCGAUUGAGAUUGUGCUAGAGAUGUUAGCGCCGGUUUGGUCGGUGUAAAGAGAAACGGUUUUCCACCAGUCGGAGACGGAGGGAUGAGGGGCGGUGGUAUCGGAGAUUGAAAGGAGAAAAUCUUUGAUGAGUUGUUUGUCAGGUCUAGCCCAUUUACCGUACCAUAUGAGGUAGAUGUUAAUCGGAGAAGAGAGAACGGGUCCCAUGUGGUAUUUGAGUUUAACUACAUCGGAAGUUCCUUCAAAACGUUUUGAUGAAGAUAGUGUUCGGAGUGGUGGGAUUGGAAUUCGAGGGUUGAAUUUGGUGUUUAGGGUUUGAAAAUCUUCGUAUUGUUCAGUUAAUGCAAGUGAAAAGAAUAGGAAUAUGGAAAAAAAGAGAAUAAAAUUAGGUAGGGGUGACAUGGUUGUGCAAUGCAAGUUAGAAGAGAAGUGAAGUGAAGAGAGUAGUGAGUUGCUAUUUGCGGUGUUAUUUUAAAGAGUGGAGACGGUGGAGGGAGGUUAAUAUUUAACAAAAUUAAUAACACAAGACAUAAGAUUAUAUAGUAAUGUAAUAAUGGAGAUUGAAGAGAAAAGGGGGAGGUGUAUUUGAUUGGGAGGGAAAUUGGCUGGCGACAGCUGCCAUGUGUGGGCGCACUAUACUCGCCAAAAAACAAUCAUAAAUAAAUAUCUAUCUACUUUUAUUUAUUCAUUUUUCAAAAGUGUAAAACAGAUAUUUCUUUGUUUGCUUCUAAUCUUCUUUUCACUUGCAGAAUAUUACGAUUAAGGAAGGUAAUUUUAAUUUACCAUUGUACUACUGUGUCUCUUUCACCUAAUUCACACGGGUGAGAUUCAUACUUCAACUUGCUCUUGUAUUAAUUAAUUAAUUAAUGUAUUACAGUUUUACCCUUUCCUUUUACUUUUAAUUUUUUUACUACUCUUUGAAAUAAUGGGGUUACAUUGCAGGUUGAUAAUUGAUUAUCAUUAUUCAUUGAAGGGAGCAAAAGAAAGUAGAAAGUAAAUUGGUUGGUGGGUAUGGUAAAGUUUAUAAAGUAUGAUGAGGAGGCCUCAGCCUUGGAGAGAACAAAGUUCUUCGCCGUGAUAUGCGUCAAGCGGGGCCGCAAGGCCUGUUAUUUUUACUUUUCACACGUCUAAUUCUGCCCCACGGUUUGAAAUUUUAAUUUUAUUUACUAAAUUCCUACAUAUGUUGGUGUGGGGGGUCCAAAUUUUACUUUCAUUUAUUCUUGUGUUAUUAAGGGAAAUGUUGGAUUUUGUCAUUCAUGAUUACUCUUUGGCUAGUGAACAUUUGAAUGGUACUCUGCAGUGUUGAAUAACUCUUUCUGCACAUUUACCUAUUACCAGGGAACCAUUUCUAGGCACCAUUUUACAAGAGAAGCAUUUGUUUUUAACAAUAUAUUGGAAACUCAUUUUUUUGGGUUUUUAAAACCAAUAAAUUUACUUCCUCGAUUGUCAUCACAACUCACAACUGUUUGGUUUAAGACAAUUUUUCCUAUUGUAGCUUGUCCUUCCCUUAAUAAUAACUUUUGAAUUAAUUAUUGUCUCUAUUAUAGUAAGUUGAUAGUUAAGUAGUUGAAAAAUGAUGAAAUGAAG
rnacentral:lncRNA from 1 species